AGAGUUUGAUCAUGGCUCAGGAUGAACGCUAGCUACAGGCUUAACACACGCAAGUCGAGGGGCAGCAUGAUUGAAGCUUGCUUCAAUUGAUGGCGACCGGCGCACGGGUGAGUAACGCGUAUCCAACCUUCCGUACACUCAGGGAUAGCCUUUCGAAAGAAAGAUUAAUACCUGAUGGUAUGAUGAGAUUGCAUGAUAGCAUCAUUAAAGAUUUAUCGGUGUACGAUGGGGAUGCGUUCCAUUAGGUAGUAGGCGGGGUAAUGGGCCCACCUAGCCGACGAUGGAUAGGGGUUCUGAGAGGAAGGUCCCCCANAUUGGAACUGAGACACGGUCCAAACUCCUACGGGAGCA
rnacentral:rRNA from 1 species